rnacentral:rRNA from 1 species
UGGGGAAUAUUGGACAAUGGGCGGAAGCCUGAUCCAGCCAUGCCGCGUGUGUAAAGAAGGCCUUUUGGUUGUAAAGCACUUUAAGCGAGGAGGAGGCUACUUGGAUUAAUACUCUAGGAUAGUGGACGUUACUCGCAGAAUAAGCACCGGCUAACUCUGUGCCAGCAGCCGCGGUAAUACAGAGGGUGCGAGCGUUAAUCGGAUUUACUGGGCGUAAAGCGUGCGUAGGCGGCUUCUUAAGUCGGAUGUGAAAUCCCUGAGCUUAACUUAGGAAUUGCAUUCGAUACUGGGAAGCUAGAGUAUGGGAGAGGAUGGUAGAAUUCCAGGUGUAGCGGUGAAAUGCGUAGAGAUCUGGAGGAAUACCGAUGGCGAAGGCAGCCAUCUGGCCUAAUACUGACGCUGAGGUACGAAAGCAUGGGGAGCAAACAGG